AAGCGUCGGUAAGGUGAUAUGAACCGUUAUAACCGGCGAUUUCCGAAUGGGGAAACCCAGUGUGUUUCGACACACUAUCAUUAACUGAAUCCAUAGGUUAAUGAGGCGAACCGGGGGAACUGAAACAUCUAAGUACCCCGAGGAAAAGAAAUCAACCGAGAUUCCCCCAGUAGCGGCGAGCGAACGGGGAGGAGCCCAGAGCCUGAAUCAGUGUGUGUGUUAGUGGAAGCGUCUGGAAAGGCGCGCGAUACAGGGUGACAGCCCCGUACACAAAAAUGCACAUACUGUGAGCUCGAUGAGUAGGGCGGGACACGUGGUAUCCUGUCUGAAUAUGGGGGGACCAUCCUCCAAGGCUAAAUACUCCUGACUGACCGAUAGUGAACCAGUACCGUGAGGGAAAGGCGAAAAGAACCCCGGCGAGGGGAGUGAAAAAGAACCUGAAACCGUGUAC
rnacentral:rRNA from 1 species